UACGUAGGAUGCAAGCGUUGUCCGGAAUUAUUGGGCGUAAAGCGAACGUAGGCGGUUUCUUAAGAUUGGUCUUAAAGACCGGGGCUCAACCCCGGGAAUGGAUCGAUAACUGGGAGACUGGAGGACGUCAGAGGAAAGUGGAAUUCCGAGUGUAGCGGUGAAAUGCGUAGAUAAUUGGGAGGAACACCAGUGGCGAAGGCGGCUCACUGGACCGGUACUGACGCUGAGGCGCGAAAGCGUGGGGAGCAAACGGG
rnacentral:rRNA from 1 species